rnacentral:rRNA from 1 species
AGGGAAUCUUCCGCAAUGGGCGAAAGCCUGACGGAGCAACGCCGCGUGAGUGAUGAAGGUCUUCGGAUCGUAAAACUCUGUUAUUAGGGAAGAACAAAUGUGUAAGUAACUAUGCACGUCUUGACGGUACCUAAUCAGAAAGCCACGGCUAACUACGUGCCAGCAGCCGCGGUAAUACGUAGGUGGCAAGCGUUAUCCGGAAUUAUUGGGCGUAAAGCGCGCGUAGGCGGUUUUUUAAGUCUGAUGUGAAAGCCCACGGCUCAACCGUGGAGGGUCAUUGGAAACUGGAAAACUUGAGUGCAGAAGAGGAAAGUGGAAUUCCAUGUGUAGCGGUGAAAUGCGCAGAGAUAUGGAGGAACACCAGUGGCGAAGGCGACUUUCUGGUCUGUAACUGACGCUGAUGUGCGAAAGCGUGGGGAUCAAACAGGAUUAGAUACCCUGGUAGUCCACGCCAUAAACGAUGAGUGCUAAGUGUUAGGGGGUUUCCGCCCCUUAGUGCUGCAGCUAACGCAUUAAGCACUCCGCCUGGGGAGUACGACCGCAAGGUUG